rnacentral:lncRNA from 1 species
AAACAUUGCAUUUAUAAGACGAUGACUUUAACAAACCACCUUACCUCUUAGAAAGAAAAGUGAGAGAGGUCUCAAGCCAUCUCAACCACAAAAACUUGUCGAUUGCUGGAUAUAUAAACAGAAUCAGUGCUUGUAGAAUAAUAGCAAUAAAUAAAGCCAUCAAAUACAAUUGUAUACAGAAACAAAAAUACAUGCCCACUUCCACAUCAACCAACGGAGAGAGGGUGAUGUGCCUUAUAUUUACAUGUCCACUUCCAUCUAGCAUAAGGCCUUUUGGGAGUUCACUGGCUUCGAAGUCAUGGGAACUCCGAAGUUAAGCGACUUUGGACUAGAGCAAUCCCAUGAUGACUUACCCACUGGGAAGUUGCUCGUGAGUUCCCAGAAACAAAACUGUGAUGGCAGGAGACCCAAAGCGGACAAUAUUGUGAUACGGAGGAGCCGAUCCGGGAUGUGACAUAUAUAGUUUUUCAAAAAGACUAAAAUCUUCAACUAUGUCCUUUUCAUAGAAGAAAACUGAGUUCUGGUUUGUAUCAUAGUAAACUGGUUUGAGGAUGCUUCAGUUACUGCAUUGACUGUCUUCAGCAUAUCAUGGUGUGCCGUGACUCGCGAGUCCACAAUUUUUUGCGUAAAAUACUGCAGCCCGUUGUUCAUCAUACAAAACAUAUCCUCACAAUCUCAUAUAAAAAUCAAAUACAAUCACAUACAAUAAAUAAAGGAGAAAGUUAUUUUUUUGGUCCCCAUAGUUUCAAUUUUAUUAAUUUUAACCUUGUAGUUGUAAAUCCCUCACAAUCCCUCACAUGCUGAGAGUCAUCAUGUAAACAACGUUAGCCAGGUAUAAGUUUCUCUCGUCCUUUGCAAGAUGAAUUAUGCCUAAUCUAAUAAUUAGUUGUGUGGAACCAUGCACUUAUACAAUAUUGUAUUUUAUUUCGUUGAGUUUUCAAUUGUAUUUAACAUUAUUCAGCAGUCAAAAACAAGGAAUGAACAUUGUCAAGCAUCCAAGUUAUUGCUAACUCUUCUGUCAAUUUUAUCAUUAAAAUUCAACCACAAAAUUCAAACAUUGCAUUUAUAAGAUGAUGACCUUAACAUACGAUGACUCUAUCUCGUAUGAUAUAUUGUGGAAAACGGAAUCAGUGCAUGUACAUAAUAGCUAUAAAUAAAGCCAUCAAAUACACGAUUGUCUACAGAAACAAAAAUACAAUGACAUAUUUAUUAUACUGUCUAGCUUGCCUUAUCUCGUAUGUCCAGCUGUUCUCAUCACCAAACACUGCUUUUGCUUCUUCUCUUGAAGCAGAUGCUCUUCUCAGAUGGAAAGCUAGCUUUCAAAAUCAAACCAAGAAUAAUCUGACCUCAUGGGCUUACUAUCCAAAAGCAAAUACAAUUCCAUGCAACGUUUGGACUGGUAUUUCAUGCAACACUGCUGCAAGUGUCAACAGGAUCAACCUCACCAAUUCUGGGAUACAAGGUACGCUAUAUGAAUUUCCAUUCCUUUCCCUCCCUAAUCUCGAAUACAUUGACCUCAGCUUGAACCAACUCUUUGGUGCGAUCCCAUCUCAGAUCAGUUCCCUCUCCAAACUCAUCUAUCUUGACCUUUCUUAUAAUAAUUUGUCUGGGAAAAUCCCACCAGAAAUUGGUCUUCUCAAUAAUCUUCAAGUCCUGCACCUAUUUGAGAACCAAUUAAAUGGCUCAAUCCCUCGAGAAAUCGGUCAGCUUAAGUUUCUUAAUGAGCUUUCUCUGGAAACCAACAAUCUACAAGGUCCAAUUCCAGCUUCUUUUGGUAACCUUUCCAAUUUAGAAGGGUUGUACAUGCAGGAAAACUAUUUAACAGGUGCCAUUCCUCCAAGUUUUGGAAAUUUAGAACACCUGACCACGAUUUACUUGUACAACAAUCAACUUUCUGGUUCUCUCCCUUCAGAAAUAGGAAAUUUGAAGUCUCUAGUGGAAUUAUGCAUUGAUAAUAACAAUCUAUCUGGUCCAAUCCCGUCAUCAUUAGGUGAUCUAACAAACCUUACCCAUCUCUAUCUCUAUAAAAAUAAUCUUUCCGGAACAAUUCCAAAAGAGAUAGGGAAUUUGAAAUCUAUUGUGGAUCUAGAGUUGGGCCAGAAUCAACUCAAUGGUUCCAUCCCCACUUCACUUGGUGACUUGAGCAACCUAGAAAUCUUAUUCCUACGCGCUAACAAACUUUCUGGCUCCAUCCCCCAAGAGAUGGAGAAUCUCACUAACAACUUUUCUGGUUAUUUGCCCCAAAAAAUUUGCCAAGGCGGAUCACUAGAAAACUUUACAGCACACACCAACCAUUUGAUAGGUCCAAUCCCCAAAAGCUUGAAAACUUGCAAGAGCUUAGUGAGAGUUCGUCUUGAAGGGAACCAACUGACAGGAAAUAUAUCUGAAGACUUUGGUGCCUAUCCAAAUCUUCAAUUCAUUGACCUGAGCCACAAUAAGUUGCACGGUGAACUCUCACAGCUCUGGGGACAGUGUCCGCAAUUAGCAACACUACGAAUUGCGGGGAACAACCUUACUGGUGGUAUACCACCUGAGAUUAGCCAUGCAACCCAAAUUCAUGAACUGGAUCUUUCUUCCAAUAGUUUAGUAGGGGUGAUUCCCAAGGACUUUAGGAGAUUGACUUCUUUGAUGAAAUUGAUGUUGAAUGGCAAUCAACUUUGGGGUCCUAUUCCCUCAGAAUUUGGAUCGUUGACGGAUUUUGAAUAUCUUGACUUGUCCACCAACAAAUUCAAUGAGUCAAUUCCAGGCAUUUUUGGUGAGUUGCUCCAAUUACACUAUUUGAAUUUGAGCAAUAACAAGUUCAGUCAAGAAAUUCCGUUUCAGUUGGGGAAGUUAGUUCAUAUGUCCCAACUUGAUCUAAGUCACAACUCACUUGAGGGCAAGAUACCAUCAGAAAUGAGCAGUAUGCGAAGCUUGGAAACGUUGAAACUUUCCCACAAUAAUCUUACCGGUCUCAUUCCAACAAGUUUUGAUGCAAUGCAUGGCUUGAAUGACAUCGACAUAUCCUACAAUCAACUGCAGGGUCCAAUCCCCAACAACAAAGCAUUUCAAAAUGCUCAAAUGGAAGGGAAUAACGGAUUGUGUGGCAACGUUGGAGGACUAAAACCCUGCAAUCAUUCUGUGGAGCAUAAGCAUACCUCAAGGAAGGCGUUCUUAAUCAUUUUCCCUAUCUUGGGAACACUUUUACUUGCUUUCCUGGCAUUUGUUUUGAUUGGAAGAAGAAGUAGAAGAAAGCAAGAACAGGAAAUCGAGCAGAGCAAUAUGCAUGAAAGCUUUUUCUCAAUAUCUAAUUUUGACGGAAGAAAAAUGUAUGGAGAAAUCAUGGAAGCAACCAAUGGUUUUGAUGUCAUUCAUUGCAUCGGGAAGGGAGGACAGGGAAGCGUCUACAAGGCAAAGCUCCCAUCAGGCAGCAUUGUUGCAGUGAAGAAAUUCCAUCAAACACUUGAUGGUGAGGAGGCAUCUCGGAAGGAGUUCCUUAAUGAAAUAAGGGCAUUAACUCAGAUACGACACCGAAACAUUGUGAAGUUUCUUGGCUUUUGUUCAAGUGCCCAUCACUCGUUUUUGGUCUAUGAGUAUUUGGAAACAGGUAGCUUGGCUGCAAUCUUGAGCAACGAGAAUGAAGCUAAAAAAUUGGACUGGAGCACAAGGGUGAGAAUUGUAAAAGGUGUUGCUCAUGCGUUGUGUUAUAUGCAUCAUGAUUGCUCACCACCAAUUGUGCAUAGAGACAUAACAAGCAGCAACAUUUUGCUGCACUGUGACUAUGAGCCUUGUGUUUCUGACUUCGUUACUGCUAAGCUUUUGAAUCCAGACUCGUCGAAUUGGACUGCUCUUGCAGGCACAUAUGGAUAUGUAGCACCAGGUAAAAUACUAAAAUACAGAACUUUUCAUUAUAAAAAAUUAUUAUUAUUAUUAAGUCUAGAUAUAAUUAUAUCGAUGAUUUGCUCUUCUUUCAUUUGUAUGCAGAGCUGGCUUACACAAUGAAGGUAACAGAGAAAUGUGAUGUUUAUAGCUUUGGAGUGCUGUCACUGGAAGUGAUUAUGGGAAAGCAGCUAGGCGAUUUUGUCUCCUCCUUUUCGUUUCCAUCCACCACCUAUGCAAACAUAUUGCUCAAGGAUGUACUGGACCAACGCCUUCCCCCUCCAACGCCUCAAGUUCUAGAUGAACUCAUAACCAUUGCAAGGCUAUCAAUUGCAUGCAGACAUUCCCAUCCACAAUCCAGGCCAACAAUGCACAUGGUUUCUAAGGUAUUAUCGUUCCAACCGGCUUCUUCCAGUAGAGGACCAGACGAUACUACACUUGAACAACUCAUUAAGAUCUGAAUUGCGUGUGACCGAUGAGUUUUGAACAAAUAGACCAACCUCGUGUUUAAACAUACUGUAUUUCAUAUAAACUUUAGCAUGUAUAUUGUUUUUCAGCUCGAUUAAAAUCUUCAACAUCAACUAUCCUUUCAUCCAAGUACUGAGUUCUGGUUUGUAUCAGUGUAAAAUGGUUUUGCCAUAUUAUCCUAUUUAUUACCACAUUAUGGCAAACUAAAUGUGUUAUAUUUGCAAGACAGAUAACACGUAAAUAAAUGGUUAUAUAUAAGAUUAUCCCAUUUAUUACCACCUCUUAUCACUGGCGGACCUAGGAAUUUUUUAGUGGAAGUGCAAUUUCAAAUGCUAAAAAUUCUUUGUUGAUUGAACAUCUAAGGCUUUUUACUUAGAUUGACUUUAGGUCCCUUCAUGCAUUCAUAUCAUACAUGAAAAAAAAAAAUUAUGUAAAAAUAUUGUCUAAGUAUGAAUGCUAGGAUUUUUUAAUUGACAUGGCGACAUUCAUUAAUUGACAUGACAUAACACAUCAGUUGCCACAUAAGGUGGUCAAUAUUGUGUGUCUAAAUAGCAUUACUCUUAAACUAUAGGGUUGUUUUCAAGUUCAUACCCAAUUUUAGAGACAUUUACAAGUACAUACUCAAACUCCCGAAAACCAUACAAUUUACCCCCUCCGUUAGUUAAACCAUUAGUUAAUCUAUUAAAUGCUGAUGUGGCAAAUGUUACUCCCAAUUUUUUAUGAGAUGGAUUCCGUGUGGCCAAAAUAUAUAAUAAACAAUUCUUUGUUUUUUCAAUAUAAAAAAAGAGAGUUAAAUUAUAUUAAAUUAAUAAAUAAAAGUGAAAAUCUAUCACCCUUUCUCUUCCCAACCAGCAACUCACCACGACUUGCUGCUAACCCUUCCCGGCCCUCUCCGUCUCUGCCCCACCCCCCUCCUCCCCCUCCGUCGCAUUCAUCAUCUUCCUCACAGCGCCACAAGCGCACCCUCGACCCCCUUUUCUCGAUCUUGUUCUCUACCUCCCCCCUCUGAACUUCCCCGACCCCAAUAGCCACCUCACCCCAACAGAGAGAACCUCUAAAAUUCCAGUCUCCACCACCCACCCCACCCCACCCCCCCAAAAAAAAAAGAAAAGGAUCUCGCACCCAUUUGCCCGUUUUCCUCCCAGAUCUGAGAUUUUGACAUUUGCUUUUGAUAAUUAUGUUGAAGGCUUUAAGCAAUUGAUUGAUAAUGAUGCUUCUUUAGUCAAAUAGAUUGGAUUGUGGUACAGCAAUCAGAAAGGCUCGAAACUUUGUUCCUGAGCAUAGAACUCCACUAAUGGUUGUUGGCUACCAAUGGGCUAUGAGUUUGUGACUGGGCUAGUGGAGGUCCAAGAGAGAGAGACAGAGGAGAUCAAAUAACUACUCCUAAUUUCUACAAUUUGAUCGAGAAGUUCAAAUCUUUUCAUAUGUAGCACAAUAUAACAAAGAUAAUCAAAUGAAAAGUUGAAAUUUUGGAUUCACAACUUAUUGCUCAUAUAAAUCCAACCCAUCACCAUCUCCAAGUCUCCGAUUAUCCCAUCGGAGAUGGAUGCCGGAUUAUGGAGCAAGCUACCACAGGAACUCCUCGAGCGUAUUCUCUCUGAGAUUGACUUGUAAGCACUUCAAGCGUUUAGUAUUCUCUCCCUCUCUGAUCUCCAAGGAUUCCUCUUCUUCACCCUUCUCUUCUUUCCUCUUGCUUUCUCACCCUCAGUGUUAUAACCACUUCGCUCUCUAUGACUCUGCACUGAUUCUCUCUCUCCAAUUCCUUUCUUGUCUUCAAUCUUUUGACCAAGUCCUCAAGAAUGAUCGAAUUCCCUGCUUACCCUUUUGCUUUUGAAUUGUUUUCUUUGGUUUCCACGCUUGUUGGGUACAAUCCUUUCAUGCUCUCUUCUGGGUCUUGUACCAAGAUCUCUCUGCUUCGUCAUGGUUGGUGCCGCUGCCCGCUGAAGCCGACGAUGGCGUAGGCGCUCGGCGUUCCCUGUCCGUUGAUGAAAUUGACUACAAAAUGGGUGGUGGGUGGUGGUUUGGCUGGCUGGGGUGGUUGUUUGGGCUGCCGGGAUGCUGAUUUGGGUGGCUCCUGGCAAUAUUGCACACGAUCCGUUAACAUGACACGAAUUCGCACGAAAUUAUCAGUAUUUGGGUUGAGCUUAAUGAGUCGGGUUAAAAACGGGUGAAUUCGUUAACCACCUGUUAAGCUAAUGGGUUGUGUCGGGUCAAAAACGGGUUAAUCCGUUAGCCACCCGUUAAAGAGGUUAAUUUUAUAAUUUUGCAAAAUAUUUUUUUUUUCUUUUCUUCUUCCCCUUUUCCUCUUUAGUUUUCUUCUUUCCGUGUCUUUUUCUUCUUUCAUUUUUUUUACUUUUCUUCUUUCCUUUUUGUCUUUUUCUUCUUUUCCCUUUUCCUUUUCUUCUUCUCUUCUUUUCUUCUUUCAUUUUUUUUACUUUUCUUCUUUCCUUUUUGUCUUUUUCUUCUUUUCCUUUUUCCUUUUCUUCUUCUCUUCUUCUCUUCUUCUCUGCUAUUUUUUAGUCAAGAUUCUUUUAUGCUCUUCUUCUCUCCACUCAAUAGACUCCGCCAGCCCAGCCACCAUGGAUCAAGGAGGAGGUUGUUGGUUUUGGUUCUCUCAGUCAAUUUUGAAUUUUUUUUCUUCCUCAGUUUAUGUAGUUGUUGGGUUCUUAAUAUAUCUGUGAGAGAGAUAUAUACUAUUUUGGGGUGAGAAGACUGAAAUAAAGAGGGAAAGAGGGAAGAAAAGUUAGAGUUGGGGUUUGGGGGAAAAAAGACAGAGAAGGUGUGUCGGGUACAGAACCUGUGAUAGUUUUUUUUUUUGGUGGUUUAUUCUUAACGGGUUAACGGGUCGUAUCGGAUAUUCGCGAAUUAUAACGGGUCGUGUUUGGGUAUAGUAUUUGUCACCCGUUAACUUAACGGGUCGUGUCGUGUUAACCUGUUAACUUAACGGGUUGACACAAACAUGACCCGAAAUCCGUUAAUACAACCCGUUUGCCAGGUCUAACUUGGGGUCUUGGGGUGGCUAGCUAAGUCGUGCUAGGAGGAAAGUGAUGAGAGAUUUUUUUAUAUUUAUUUUUAAAAAUGAAGAAUUUUUUAUUAUUUUUUUGUCUACAUGGAAGUCCAUUCAUUAAAAAAAGGGGUCAUACAUUUGACAAGUAAGCAUUUAACAGAUUAACUAACGGUUUGUGUAAUGGAAGGGGCAAUUUUUACGUUUUCCGGGAGUUGGAGUAUGUACUCGUAAAUAUCUCUAAAAUUGGGUAUGAACUUGAAAAUGACCCUACAAUUUGGGGGAUUUUAUGUACUUUGUCAUAUUGUAUUUUAUAUCGUCGAGUUUUCGAUAGUAUUUAACAUUAUUCAACGGCCAAAAACAAAGAAUGAACAUUGUCAAGCAUCGAAGUUAUUGCAAACUCUUCUCUCAAUUUCAUCAUUAAAAUUCAACCACAAAAUAUCCAAACAUUGCAUUUAUAAGACGAUGACUUUAACAUACCACCUUAUCUCUUAGAAAGAAAAGUGGAAGAGAGGUCUCAAGCCAUCUGAACCACAAAAACUUGUUGAUAGCUGGAUAUAUUGUGAAAAACGGAAUCAGUGCAUGUAGGUAAAGCACUGUACUCAUAUUCCCAAACAAAUCCUUACAAUCAUAUAUAAAAAUAAAAUAAAAUCAUAUACAAUAAUUGCAAAAUUUUAGAAGGGUCAGCUGACCACUCUAAUUAUUCAUUGAUUCAGUCGCCAGGGCCCCGUGGCACGGAACCAUGUAGAUUUGGAGGUCGAUUUCUAGGUACGGCUAUUUUUUUUGCCAGGUUAAUAUUCUUCAUCUUCUGAAAUUCUGUAUCAAUCUUCUCUUCUGCAAUGAUAAUACAAAACUUCAUUAAUACUAAUUAUGCUAAAGAUUUGAAUGAUGUAUGCAUACAUAUACACAUAUGGCCCUUCUAGAGAGAGAUUUCUAUAUUGGAUUAAAGUUCAAUAAUCUAAACUGUUUUCAGCCUCUCUUUAAAUAUCAUCCUGACAAAAAGAUAGUUGAAUUGGAAAUCAAUUUAUGUACAUCUAAAAAAAAAUAAGCGAAUACAACAUGGCGGAGAAGCAAAUCUGACCAGUGGCGGACCUAUUAAGGCACAAGGAGGUGCAGCUGCAGCUCCUCUCGUUGGAAAAAUUAUUGUAAGUGCUUCAAAUUGCCGCUUUGCUCAGUUGGUGGUGGUGUACAGAUUACCUUAUUGUUAUAUUACUCCAUUUACUUAAGUUUAUAAUGUAAAUAAGGAAAUACCCCCCAUUUGGAUUCAAAUAAAAAUACUAGAAAAUCAAAUUCCCACCAAUACGAAAAAUCGAUUUUAGUGCAAAAUACGAUUUAGGCUAAAAAUGAAGGCUCAUUAAGUCAAUAUAUACUUCAUAAUAAAAUCCCAUAAAAUCAAGUUUUCUUAUUUGAUGUGUAAGGAAUAAAAGCUGCCAAAAAUUAUCUUGAGAAAAUGAUUAUUUCGAAAAAUUAUUUUUCAUACUUAGUCAAUAUUUUUACAUAAAACAAUUUUUGAUGUGUGAUAUGAAUGCAUGAAGGGACCUAAAGUCAAUAUAGGUAAAAAGCCUUAUAUGUUCAAUCCACAAAUAGCUUUUAGCUUUUCAAAUUGCACCUCCGCUUAAAAAUUCCUAGGUCCGCCAGUGGUUGCCCAUGCCUCCACUGUGACGGUUGUGGUUGUUAAACUGUAGAGUUUUAUGUAGUUUGUCCUAUUGUAUUUUAUUUCAUCAAGUUUUCGAUAGUAUUUAACAUUAUUCAACGGCCAAAAAGAAAGAAUGAACAUUCUCAAGCGUCCAAGUUAUUGCUAACUGUUCUCUCAAUUUCAUCAUUAAAAUUCAACCACAAAAUAUCCAAACAUUGCAUUUAUAAGACGAUGACUUUAACAUAUCACCUUACCUCUUAGAAAGAAAAGUGGAAGCGAGGUCUCAAGCCAUCUCAACCACAAAAACUUGUUGAUUGCUGGAUAUAUUGUGGAAAACGGAAUCAGUGCAUGUAUGUAAAGAACUGUUCUCACAUUCCUAAACAAAUCCUUUCAAUCGUAUAUAAAAAUAAAAUAAAAUAAUAUAUAAUAAUUGCAAAAUUUUAGAAGGGUCAGCUCACCACUCUAAUUAUUCAUUGAUU